UGAUCUACCCUUGGUCAGGUUGAAGUUCAGGUAACACUGAAUGGAGGACCGAACCGACUUACGUUGAAAAGUGAGCGGAUGAACUGAGGGUAGCGGAGAAAUUCCAAUCGAACCUGGAGAUAGCUGGUUCUCUCCGAAAUAGCUUUAGGGCUAGCCUCAAGUGAUGAUUAUUGGAGGUAGAGCACUGUUUGGACGAGGGGCCCCUCUCGGGUUACCGAAUUCAGACAAACUCCGAAUGCCAAUUAAUUUAACUUGGGAGUCAGAACAUGGGUGAUAAGGUCCAUGUUCGAAAGGGAAACAGCCCAGACCACCAGCUAAGGUCCCAAAAUAUAUGUUAAGUGGAAAAGGAUGUGGCGUUGCCCAGACAACUAGGAUGUUGGCUUAGAAGCAGCCAUCAUUUAAAGAGUGCGUAAUAGCUCACUAGUCGAGUGACACUGCGCCGAAAAUGUACCGGGGCUAAACAUAUUACCGAAGCUGUGGAUUGUCCUUUGGACAAUGGUAGGAGAGCGUUCUAAGGGCGUUGAAGCAUGAUCGUAAGGACAUGUGGAGCGCUUAGAAGUGAGAAUGCCGGUGUGAGUAGCGAAAGACGGGUGAGAAUCCCGUCCACCGAUUGACUAAGGUUUCCAGAGGAAGGCUCGUCCGCUCUGGGUUAGUCGGGUCCUAAGCUGAGGCCGACAGGCGUAGGCGAUGGAUAACAGGUUGAUAUUCCUGUACCACCUAUAAUCGUUUUAAUCGAUGGGGGGACGCAGUAGGAUAGGCGAAGCGUGCGAUUGGAUUGCACGUCUAAGCAGUAAGGCUGAGUAUUAGGCAAAUCCGGUACUCGUUAAGGCUGAGCUGUGAUGGGGAGAAGACAUUGUGUCUUCGAGUCGUUGAUUUCACACUGCCGAGAAAAGCCUCUAGAUAGAAAAUAGGUGCCCGUACCGCAAACCGACACAGGUAGUCAAGAUGAGAAUUCUAAGGUGAGCGAGCGAACUCUCGUUAAGGAACUCGGCAAAAUGACCCCGUAACUUCGGGAGAAGGGGUGCUCUUUAGGGUUAACGCCCAGAAGAGCCGCAGUGAAUAGGCCCAAGCGACUGUUUAUCAAAAACACAGGUCUCUGCUAAACCGUAAGGUGAUGUAUAGGGGCUGACGCCUGCCCGGUGCUGGAAGGUUAAGAGGAGUGGUUAGCUUCUGCGAAGCUACGAAUCGAAGCCCCAGUAAACGGCGGCCGUAACUAUAACGGUCCUAAGGUAGCGAAAUUCCUUGUCGGGUAAGUUCCGACCCGCACGAAAGGCGUAACGAUUUGGGCACUGUCUCAACGAGAGACUCGGUGAAAUCAUAGUACCUGUGAAGAUGCAGGUUACCCGCGACAGGACGGAAAGACCCCGUGGAGCUUUACUGUAGCCUGAUAUUGAAAUUCGGCACAGCUUGUACAGGAUAGGUAGGAGCCUUUGAAACGUGAGCGCUAGCUUACGUGGAGGCGCUGGUGGGAUACUACCCUAGCUGUGUUGGCUUUCUAACCCGCACCACUUAUCGUGGUGGGAGACAGUGUCAGGCGGGCAGUUUGACUGGGGCGGUCGCCUCCUAAAAGGUAACGGAGGCGCUCAAAGGUUCCCUCAGAAUGGUUGGAAAUCAUUCAUAGAGUGUAAAGGCAUAAGGGAGCUUGACUGCGAGACCUACAAGUCGAGCAGGGUCGAAAGACGGACUUAGUGAUCCGGUGGUUCCGCAUGGAAGGGCCAUCGCUCAACGGAUAAAAGCUACCCCGGGGAUAACAGGCUUAUCUCCCCCAAGAGUUCACAUCGACGGGGAGGUUUGGCACCUCGAUGUCGGCUCAUCGCAUCCUGGGGCUGUAGUCGGUCCCAAGGGUUGGGCUGUUCGCCCAUUAAAGCGGUACGCGAGCUGGGUUCAGAACGUCGUGAGACAGUUCGGUCCCUAUCCGUCGUGGGCGUAGGAAAUUUGAGAGGAGCUGUCCUUAGUACGAGAGGACCGGGAUGGACAUACCUCUGGUGUACCAGUUGUCGUGCCAACGGCAUAGCUGGGUAGCUAUGUGUGGACGGGAUAAGUGCUGAAAGCAUCUAAGCAUGAAGCCCCCCUCAAGAUGAGAUUUCCCAACUUCGGUUAUAAGAUCCCUCAAAGAUGAUGAGGUUAAUAGGUUCGAGGUGGAAGCAUGGUGACAUGUGGAGCUGACGAAUACUAAUCGAUCGAAGACUUAAUCAA
rnacentral:rRNA from 1 species